CAGCAAAAGUGGAAACGCCUGCAUAUUUUGAAGGAAUUCCAAGCAGACAGGACCUAGGGUUGGCCAUGGACAAGGAGACAAAGACUCCUGUUCAGAAGCACAAGAGCAUCUGAAGCUGCAGCUGCAUCACUUUCUCAGGAGGAGUUCCAGGAAGUGGACCUGAGCAAGCAAAGGGCCCAUCUUGCUGAGAUGUUGUGUCUGAGCCGCCACAUCGCCCCCCGAAACCAUCGUGACGACUUACACCCUACAAACCACGACUGCGGCCGCCUGCUUCCCAGAGCUUUUCAAUCUCCGCCGAUUCACUGGCAGAAGGAAUAUCUUUUGUUGGCAUAAUUCAUUUAGUUUUGAUGGCUGGUAUAAGAGGGUGCAGGGAGACAGCGCUCCUAAAACUAUGUCAGCAGGUGCUGGAGGGAGUGGGAGCCAGCAGGCCCCUGUGACCCUGAGUGCACGUCACCUUCUAGAAUAAGGGGCUGCAGGCCCAGCAGGUGGCUGGCGCAGAGGCAUUUCUGCAAGAGACAAGCACUGAGCGGACAUCUCUGACCCAGUAUUCAGUAUCCUGAGAUAAACCAUAAUGAAAAAGAAUUCUAAAAGAAUACAUAUGUGUGAGUGUAUCACUGAGUCACUUUGCCGUAAGCAGAAAUUAACACGACAUUGUA